UGCGCCGGUGUCUCACACGAAAGGCAACUUGGAAGUUUGAUACAAAGUUACGGGUUUGCCUCGCUGCGCUAUGCAGCUGCUGGAGGGAUGAGAUCAUUCAGGCAGCCUCCCCCCUGGCUCUCUCUCUCUCCCUGCCCCGGAGUCUCGCGAGAAGGCUUCGUGGGGGAAGCAAACGUUUCCGUGGCAACAGGGCUCACCUGUAGUGGGUUGACGGUGAGGAGGGGAAAACGAAGAGCUCUCACUCUGCGUUGAAUAACCAGACUGACUAUGCAACUAUGCAAGCUAAUGCUAGGAAGCACAUUUUUUUUCUUUUACUUACUCUGAAGGUCCAGUUACAUUCCUUUUCAGAGCGGCCAUCUCCAGGUAAUCAUCCAGAGAUCCCAACAAGUUGUCCACGUCUCUUUUGUGAGCCUGCAGCACCAGUUCUGCCGCACGGGUGAAGGACUGCAGGAAAGAGGAAGUUACAAACAAACAUACAGGUGGAUGUUUGUGGCAAAUCUGAAGAGAUUCCCUCGAGGCGCUGCUGAGAUAUUGCGCUUACAAGAAUAGGACAGACAGAUGGACAACCCAAAAACAUAAUAAAUGAAAAAAACACAAAA